ensembl:lncRNA
GAUGCAGAAAGCACAGGAAUACAAACCAUCAGAGAAAUUCACACCACCCGAUAUUGAACCAUUAUAUGGAGGCAUGUUAAUAGAGGACUAUGCUUAUGAAACUUUAGUUGAAGAACAAGAACAGGCUGCAGCAGCUCUUGGUAAAAUCACCCAUGAGGAAGAUUUGAGAAAGUUGUCUGAACAUGAGUCGGUGAGGAUACUUAUGACACCAGAAGAGGCAUAUGAAGAGAUGAUGCAUAAAAGGAGCAAGAUCAUGCAAAAAGAGAAGGAGGCUCAGCAAACACAUGCAACACAGAUUGACACAUCCUUGCCAUUUGAUGUCAGUGACACUUGUUAUGUGACUAUUUCUGGAAAUGAUGUACUUACUACAGAUAAAAAUGCAAAGCCACUUUUGGAAACAGAGGAUGCCUAUGCAGAGCAAUUGAAGACACAAAAAGAUGUUUUAACACCAGGAACAAGUCCGACACAAUCAACUCCUGUGUCUCCUGCCUCCCCUCUAACUUUGUCUGAGUCAUCAUAUGAUUCCCCUGAGGUGAUUCUCAUCCCUUCAAGUGGGGAAGAAGACAACCUUGCUGAACCUAUAGAAUGCAUUUUGGAGCCUUAUAUUACAGAGUCUACUCAGGAUGUAUUUGGGAAUAAAGCUUUAUAUCCAAUUCCUGACUUAAAGAUCACUCAGUGCUCCUCUGGUGAAGAGGAAGCUGAAGAGGAGUACUGUGUCACACAAGAAAAAAUGUCAUCUGAGCCAACUGAUAUCCCUCAAAGUGAAGAGGAACCACAAGCCCCAGAAGAAUCAUUUGAGACUGUUCCCAUUUCUGUAAUCUGUGAAGUUCCCUUAUCAAAACAUUUUGUGGAGACAACAGCAAUAUCACCACUGUCUCCACCAACAUCUUCAGCAGUCUCAUCCCCAGAUUCAAAUAUAGAACUAACAACAGCACCAUCAUCCUCUCCCGUUUCUGACCAGACAUCUGAAUUAACCACUCCAGCUAGCCCCAGUGUUGCUG